rnacentral:misc_RNA from 1 species
CAGAGUUCGUGCCCCUCGCGGGUAGAUCUCCCACCCUUGUGUAUCUCGUGUUCUUGUUGCUUUGGCAGGCCGCUGGGCUUCUCCCCCCUUCCCGGGGGGUGACCCGGCCACCGGCUCCCUGGGGCUGGUGCGCGCCUGCCAGAGGACCUCCCAAACUCAGUUUGUCAGUGUCGUCAGAGUACCUAUAACAAUCGUUA